CAAAAGGCAACACUGUGAUGAACCCA
rnacentral:piRNA from 1 species